rnacentral:snRNA from 1 species
GGAUGUGAGGUUCAUAUGGCUGCAACAUGUCACCCCGUUGAUCGUUCAUCUGGAUUGGCUUGGCCUGGCUGUCUAGGCGGGUGUCCCCUUUCUCCCUCACCACUCUGUGGGUGAUCCACCUGAAGGUUCAUUCCUGGUCCAAGAGGACCACCUUCCUGAAUGGAGGAGGGCUGCUCUUUGAUCAAGGGUGUGUGAGUAGCUGUAUUCUCCUAUUGGAGCCUACAAACCUACUCUCGGAAAAAUCAAAUGAUGGAAAUUCAGUCAGAAGAGCAUAUUUUCUUUAAUCACAUCGGUUAGCUUCUCUGCAAGAUAUCUAUU